rnacentral:rRNA from 1 species
AUUGAACGCUGGCGGCAGGCCUAACACAUGCAAGUCGAACGAGUGGCGGACGGGUGAGUAAUGUCUGGGAAACUGCCCGAUGGAGGGGGAUAACUACUGGAAACGGUAGCUAAUACCGCAUACCAUCGGAUGUGCCCAGAUGGGAUUAGCUAGUAGGUGGGGUAACGGCUCCCCUAGGCGACGCUCCCUAGCUGGGCUGAGAGGAUGACCGGCCACACUGGAACUGAGCCACGGCCCAGACUCCUACGGGAGGCAGCAGUGGGGAAUAUUGAACAAUGGGCGCAAGCCUGAGCGAGCAAUGCCGCGUGUAUGAAGAAGGUUUUCGGGUUGUAAAGUUCUGUCAGUGAGGAGGCGUUACCUGAAGAAAAAGCCCCGUCUAACUCCGUGCCAGCAGCCGCGGUAAUAC